CUUGAACAUUAUAAGAGGUCCCGCCUGCCCAGUGACUCUGUUCAACGGCCGCGGUAUCCUAACCGUGCGAAGGUAGCGUAAUCACUUGUUCUUUAAAUAAGGACUAGUAUGAAUGGCACCACGAGGGUUAUACUGUCUCCCCCUUUUAAUCAGUGAAACUAAUCUCCCCGUGAAGAAGCGUGGAUGACACUAUAAGACGAGAAGACCCUAUGGAGCUUUAAACUAAUUUCCCAACAACCUCACCUCCUUUUAAGCUUAUGCUUUUAAUAUUCAGCCCGGUUCUAUGGGAACAAGUUUUAGGUUGGGGUGACCACGGAGUAAAAAACAACCUCCGAGCUGUAAGGGACUAUCCCCUGAACAACAAACUACAACUUUAUGUACCAAUAUAUUGACACCUAUUGACCCAAUAUUUUGAUCAACGAAC
rnacentral:rRNA from 1 species